UUCCUAGCGAGCCCAACCUCCCACCCGUGUUUACUGUACCUUAGUUGCUUCGGCGGGCCCGCCAUUCAUGGCCGCCGGGGGCUCUCAGCCCCGGGCCCGCGCCCGCCGGAGACACCACGAACUCUGUCUGAUCUAGUGAAGUCUGAGUUGAUUGUAUCGCAAUCAGUUAAAACUUUCAACAAUGGAUCUCUUGGUUCCGGCAUCGAUGAAGAACGCAGCGAAAUGCGAUAACUAGUGUGAAUUGCAGAAUUCCGUGAAUCAUCGAGUCUUUGAACGCACAUUGCGCCCCCUGGUAUUCCGGGGGGCAUGCCUGUCCGAGCGUCAUUGCUGCCCAUCAAGCACGGCUUGUGUGUUGGGUCGUCGUCCCCUCUCCGGGGGGGACGGGCCCCAAAGGCAGCGGCGGCACCGCGUCCGAUCCUCGAGCGUAUGGGGCUUUGUCACCCGCUCUGUAGGCCCGGCCGGCGCUUGCMGAACGCAAAUCAAUCUUUUUCCAGGUUGACCUCGGAUCAGGUAGGGAUACCCGCUGAACUUAAGCAUAUCA
rnacentral:rRNA from 1 species